rnacentral:lncRNA from 1 species
CCAAGGUCUCUUUCCCAGUAUCUGGUGAAGUAGGGAAGUCGGGUGUCUCCCUGUGGUGAGUUUAGUAGUCGGUACAGGAGUGAUAUGGCGUGCGGCGUGGGGGCGUCUUGUGUACAGAUGGCCUCAAACGUGGUCAGGGGUCUAGCAGCUGAGGGUAGAUUGGGGAUUCGCUUCAGUGCGCUCCCCAGUUGGUGAUAUCGGAAUUUAGUCAUGUGGUCAGGAGGGGUGGGUGUGGGCAGUUCCGUUAACGGGGGAAUGGUCCCAUUCACUAGGACGUGUUGUAGCCUGCACGGGAAUGGGAGGCCCAAGUUAGUUAAGG